AGACAAACUCAGUGCUGCACCUGCCAGGUAAGUGUUUGUCUAGUCUGUCUAUGUUUGUAGAAUGAGGGUUAGAUAUGUGCUAGAUCGGAUGUAGCACUGGCGUAGAAUAAAUGGUUACAUCUCAAGUCAUACAGGAGGGACACAGCUCGUUAAACAGAUAAACAGUGCAAAAAGUUUUCACAAUUAAAUAAAAACUUUCUCUAACUUUCCACUAACCCUGCCUCGCCUGGCGAAAUAUGCAAUUUUUCGAUAUUACCAGAUGUUGCAAAACAGGGAUAAGUCUUCAGAGCAUUAAUCUGCAUUACUAUUAAAUUAAAACAAUCCUGUGGGACCCAAUUAGACAUUUUACUAACAUGUCCUAGAUUUGCAUCAAUGAGCCGGGCAUUGGGACAUUCGUUUUCAUUUUUCUUGGUGCUACGCUAUCUUAUCUCUGGUAUUAGAAAUACUUGUGGAGAAUAAACUUGGGGUUUGUUCCGUAAAAUCAAACAGUUGGGGUGAGCUUGAACCGAUUUGCAAAAUUUAGACCAAAUCUGCCACUCUGGGAAAAACUGUAACAAGAUCAUGGCAAGUGCGCUCACCAACACGGGACAGUAUGGAGGGCGUUUCAUCAUUACGUCCAACUUGCUGCAAAUUUUUAAAAAAUUCUCAGCUCAAUAUGUGACAAAAGUAAGGUUUAUGCCGCAGUAUAAUUGGCACAUUUUUUGAUCUAGAAAGUUCUACGUCACAUCGUGACAAGAACAUUUCUAAGUAGGAUCAUUGUCAGGUCAGUCUUACAACCUUAGUUUUCAACUCCACACACUUUACUAUUAAGUUAAUAAAGUUCUUUAAGAGUUGAGUAUAAAAUUCUAGUUUUAUUCUUCCAACCCGCCUUUCUAAGCUGAUACCUGGUGUAUGAGCUCAGUCAGGUUAGGUUGGACUGGUGUUGAACGCGAGAAUAAAUUCUUAAUUUAAAAAAAAUAUAUAUUUUUUUUUUAAAUAAAUAGUAUUUAUAGUUGAAAUUAUCAACAAUCAAUUAACAAAAAUGUAUUUGGCUCAUUGGUAUGAUCUGGUUUGAAUUACAUGUAAAAUAUGUUGGCAUACCUAAUUGCAUUUUCAUCUAAAUCAUUUUUCCGCCCUAAAUUGAUAUUUUAAUUUAUUCACUAAACUGGGAAUUCUGGGGCUAAAAUGUUUACAGUUCAAUUAAUUGGACCAUAAACUUGUAGUUUCUUUGUCAAUGUCAAACGAUUUUCCAGUUUAGCAAAUAAAUCCUAUUGUUCGUAGAUUGACAAAAAUUCUCGAUGUUCUAAUUCCUUUGAGUUCAAUAUAAGAUUAAGUGAGAUGAGGGACUGACAACCAACGUACAAAAUAUUCUCUUCGAAACACUAGUGAUUAAUUGUUUUAUCUUAUUUAUAAAUAAAUAUAUGUAUUUCUGAUUAGGCUAUUAAGUGCUGCAUUCAUAGAUUUAGUGAUGACAGGAGAAAUAAUGCUAUGUGUAUAUGUAUUAAUUAUAGUAAUGUUUGGCUAAAGUGGGCGAUUAGCUAAAAACAACCAUUAAAAUAAUUAAUUUAUUUUAAUCAAAUCAUCUGUCUUCAAGAUAUUAAAAUAGUGUUACUAAGGCAUCUUGCAAAUCAUUAUGGGGCAACUUGGAUUGCACUUAUGAUAAAAUGUUCAAUCCUCUUAUAAGACUUGCUUGCAUUCGAUCUUAACUGAAUAGCACUUUAAGUACAUUAAAAGAUAGAGAAAGAAAUAAUACGAUUCUGAAUAAAGAAAUAAUUUUGAAAUACUUUUCCCGCUGAUUAGGAACAUACCCCAAUUGCAAAGAAAAAGCUAAUUUUUUUUAUAAUAGAAAUAUCCUCCCCUCCCCCCCCAACCAACACAAGAGGUGGGAGGGAGAGGGGAACAUCUUUCAAUUUUUUUUCAAAAUGUAAGUGAGAAUUUAAUUUAAACAAUGUCGCAGUAUAUUUAAAACACACACAUGUAUAUCUUCAAUUUGCUCAAGUUCACAUUAAUAUAAAAAUAUAUUAUACUUUAUUUUAGCAGAACUUCUUGUUAAUUUUUGUACAACCCAAAAAAAAAUCCAUAUGGGUUUAUUCCCUUAAUUAAGAAUGCACCUGGUUCAGAUUAGCAAAAAUAACUCGUCCACUUAGGGGCGUUUGGACUGCAAUAUCUAUAAAUUGUUCUCAAGGUGUAUCAGUGCCCAGAGUUUGCAAAGAAUUCUCUGAAUCACCUUGAAUGCUUGGAUUCCAGAUUAACACCUUGAACACAGGUGUGUUUUAGCACUAUUCAUUUUUUGCACCUUUGGUUUUUUUUCCACUAUUUUUAGAUAAGCUCUAGAUUUCAACCUGUCUGGAUUCAAGCGUUAUGCCAGAUUAUGGAAAUAUGAAUCAGAGUUUGAACAGCAUUGAUCUCUGUAUAUCGGAAAAUUCGGUUCAAUCAAAUAAGUGCAAUUCAAUUCGAGGGAAUUUGCAGAUAGAAAGUGUCCAAUUCUGAAUCAAACUGUCAUUACAGUAAGUUAAUAGUAGCAAGUCUGCCAGGUAAAUCCUGGUGAGAACGGGUUAACUCUACAAAGGGAUCCAAUGCACCCAAUAAAUACAAAAUACUUAAGUUAAUCACUGUAUAUAUUAUCAUUCUCGCCAUUUACAUAGCGCCAACAGAUUCCGUAGCGCUUUACAAUAUUAUAAGAGGGGAGAUUUAACCAUAAACAGGACAAUUACAAGAAAACUUACAGGAAUGAUAGGUUGAAGAGGACCCUGCUCAAACCAGCUUACAGUAUAUAAUAAUUUAAGUUUCCAUUAGAUAUCCUAUUACAUAGUUACAUAGUUAGAUGGCUGAAAAGAGACUUGCGUCCAUCAAGUUCAGCCUUCCUCACAAAUGUUGUUGCUGUUAAUCCAAAAGAAGGCAAAAAACCUGGUCUGAAGCGCUUCCAAGUUUGCCACAAACCAGGAAAAAUAUUCUUCUUGACCCCAAAAUAGCAGUCAAAUGUCUCCUUGGAUCAAUCAGCUAUUACCCCACUAAUUAGACAUUAUAUCCCUGUAUGUUAGGUUUUUGUAAGUAUUUAUCCAAUUUCAGUUUAAACAUCUGUAUGGACUCUGACAAAAUCACCUCUUCAGGCAGAGAAUUCCAUAUCCUUAUUGCUCUCACUGUAAAAAAAACCUUUUCUUUGCCUUAGAUGAAAUCUCCUCUCUUCCAGCCUAAAUGCGUGACCUUGUGUCCUAUAUAUAGCCCUGUUUAUGAAUAGAUUUCCAGAUAAAGGUUUGUACUGGCCCCGAAUAUAUUUGUAUAACGUUAUCAUAUCCCCUCUCAGGCGCCGUUUUUCCUAACUAAACAGAUUUAAUUUUUUUAACCUUUCUUCAUAACUAAAAUGCUCCAUUCCUUUUAUCAAUUUUGUAGCUCGUCUCUGGACCCUCUCCAGUGCCAUGAUAUCCUUCUUUAGAACAGCUGCCCAAAAUUGCACUGCAUAUUCAAGGUGUGGUCUUACCAGCGAUUUAUAAAGAGACAUUAUAUUUACGUGUGUUUUAAAGGUAUGUCUGAGCAAGUUUUUUUUAAACCAUUUGUCCACUGGUGAAAAUAUUGUGUGCUUCCAUAGGUUAACAUGCAAAAAGCAGGUGAAUUUUUUGCAAAGUUUGUCCUCUACCGGAUUUCUUUAGAGUGAAACUCGGGUUUAAGUUUGGAGCUUAAUAAAUAUUCAAACCUUAUAUUUUCUGUAGGAUUUCCACGUGGGGAUUACUGAUUUUAAAGCAGACACUGAAGACGGUCAGAUUAUAUGUUCUGAAUUCUGACCACGUUAGCCCUUAGUAAAUAUGCAAAAUCGGUCAGAAAACUGUUACGUUGAUCUAAUUUUGCUGAUUCCGGUGCAGAUCAGGACUUUACUAAACGCCACUAUGAUUAAUUAUUUUUAUUUAUUUUUUACUACGUGACAGUCGGUAUUGACCCAAAAAAAUAAAUGCAUCUACCCCAUUGUACAGCGCUAUGGAAUUUUCUGGCGCUAUAUAAAUAAUAAUAAUAAUAAUAAAAUCAAAGUGCAUUGUAUAUCAGGUUACAUGUACAGUUUUAUCUCAAACUAAAGUCAAAGGAGGAAAAAAACACCUACUGUAGAGCUUCAACAUCUAAAACCAUUGACAGUAACUGCUAUGCAGUGUCACUACUUAUGAUACGAGACAAUGACCCCAAAGUGUUGGGGAUGUUGAUACCAUUUAGUCGGCUGGGAGGUGGUCUGCACACAAGAAAGGAUUUAAAAAAUAAAUGUAAAAAUACCCUUUUUAAAAAAUUACUAUAAAUUUGGGGUUGAAACCUAAACAAAAGUUACCUUUUUCAUCAUGACCAAUUUACCUAAUGUCUUCCUCUUGUCUUUCAUUAAAACACAUUUCACAUCUCGCACCUAACUACAAUAAACUGCUGGCUGCGUAUGUCUGUAAACCAAGACUGUUUUAGAUUUUUCUAGAUUUCUGUGUUUCGUUCUCUCAUAGCUGAGAAGUAUUGUGUAUCAUUUCUUUCUCUCUUUCUCUGAUACAUUUUGGGGUUAAAGGGAUACUAUGGUAUCAAGACAACUUUAGCUUAAUGAAGUAGUUUGGGUGUAUAGAUCAUGCCCAUGCAGUCACACUGCUCAGUUCUCUGCCUUUUAGGAGUUAAAUCACUUUUGUUUCUGUUUAUGCAGCUCUAGACACACCUCCCCUGGCUGGGACUGACACAGCCUGCAUGAAAAAAAAUGGUUUCAUUUACAAUCAGAUGUUAACUUGCUUUAGAAGUUUCCAACUCCUGCUCUUUAAAUUGAACUUUAAUCACACACAGGAGGCUCGUGCAGAGUCUCUAUUAACAGCGCAGGAGAUAGGAAAUUCUAACUUAAACAAAAUGUGCAAUAAAGGAAGUGUAAACAUUAGAACUCUCUUUAUAAGAAAGUGUAUAAGAAAGCUGUGUCAGUCACAUGCAGGGAGGUGUGCCUGGGGCUGCAUAAACAGAGAGAUUUAACUCCUAAAUGGCAGAGAAUUGAGCAGUGAGGCUGCAGGGCAUGAUCUAUACACCAAAACUGCUUCAUUAAGCUAAAGUUGUUCUGGUGCCUAUGGCAUUCCCCUGGUUAUAGAAAUAUAUAAAAUGAAACAAGUGAAUGACAAAAUGUGGAUGAAUCAAUAAACCUAUUACAUCGGUUACUAUAAUGGUUACUCCUAAUUGAUCACUACAUUUUUCCCGUUAGGUUUGUUUUAAAUUUUUAAAAUAAAAUAAAACAUAAAUAUAUAGCAUAUUUCGUUUUGCAUGCCCCAAGUUAAUCUAUACUUAGUUCCAUUUAAUAUGAUAAGGUCAUUGUUUUUCCUCUUGUAUUCUAGUUAAUUCGUCCUCGCUAUCCCGAGCCUUGCCCACCGUAACUCAUCUGUUGAAUAAGAGGUGUCCCCAGGACUGUCUGAUCUGAGAAUGGUGAAAUAUUAAUGUCAAUCUCAGGUUCGUCAGCCCAUGCGGCAUCUUUUGAGAGCAUCAAAAAGAAGAUCUUUGUACACGAACAGGAUUCCUAAAGAAAACGUGCGGUAAGAGUCGGAAAGAGUAACACUUGCUCUAGAGCAGGAGUAGGCAACAUCGUCACUCCAGAUAAUAUGGACUACAUCUUCCCUGAUGCUUUGCCAGCAUAAUAUCUUUAAGACCCUAGUGGGAGCCGCACUCCUGGCACCAUAAUCACUGCAGUGUGCUGUUGUAGUUAUGGUGCUUGAAAUGUUCUUUAAAAACAAAUCAAAAGAAAAUAAGGUUUUGAAAGUUAGAAGAAGAAAAAAAAGAAAGACAUGUAAUUACUGUGAAAAGCGGAAAUGUUUCAGCGAGAUUCCAUGCUUGUUGCUGUCAUUUGUCAGUUUCUGUGAACGUUAACCUGCGAGACCCUUUUCUUUUUCAGUCUCGGUGUUUGGAAUCUACUAAUUUACUCAUCCCUGGAGUCUCUGCAGUGACAGGAAUGAGGCACCCAGAGACUGACAGCAUUAACGUCACAACUAAAUGGUGACAAUUCUUCUGUAACGGACAGAGACCAUAUUGUGACAGUGAUACAUCCUAGACAGCCGGAAUAUAGGGCGAUCUUCCAGGGUCUCAAAAAUGUCAAAAACCUGGAUGGAACCACCCUGAACAUGCCGCCGUAAAGCACUGACAUUGCCUGUUGUGACGUACAGAAAAACAUCUAUAGAAAUGUAUGACACGUUCACACCAACAGUGGAGAAAAUCUGACCCCUAGAACUUGCAAUCUAGGAAAAUAAUCCGAUAUACAAUAAAUAUCUGCACGUUUGUCUGUCUGUAUUAACUGUCUGGUUCUAUUACGUUGUUUGGUAAAAAGGGACAUUCGCGAGCUCUGAUCAUUACAGUGAAAUGUAAACUGGAAACGAAUUAAUCUCGGACAAGUAACACAUUGACUAAUAGAUCAAAUGGGAGACUUUCAUUAACAUGUGAAUAAAAAUG